AGCUCUAUGAGCUCCUUUAGAACAAUGAAUUUAAGUUCUUUAAUGGGAAAAUCACAAGUCUCCAUUUUCUUAAGACUUGCAGAAUAGAACUUGCUUUGUGUAUGUGCUGGCUAGCCAUCUGCAAAGACUGGCUCUUGCCACCAUCAGGAGAAUGCACAGGGAGCUGGCUAUGAUGUGGAGCUCUCCAUGAAGUCUUGAUGACCUGAAUACAUCCCCGAGUCCAUUUCUACAACUGACCUUCAUAGUUUUCCCUCCUUUGAUACAAUAAACUCCUCAACAGAUCUACAUAAGCUUCUCAUAGUGAAAAAGCCAUAAAUAAACACAAGACCCUUUAUAAAUCUGAUAUUGCUAACAUUAAAUUUGUAUUUUUCAUAUCAAACCUAAAACAUACAGUCUGGACAAUACUUAGGAUAUAGUCUGUCUUUCUUAUUUCAGGGUGUUAGCUUUAGCUCUUUUGCCUCUUUCAAAGUCCUCCCUUCUUCCCCAAAAAGGUUCAAAUUCUAACAACUCUGGUAUUGAAAUUUGCCUGUAAACACUUCCUUAAUCUCUCAGACCUGAAGUCAUUAUUCACUGGCUUUUAUUGUUUGUAGAAUAUGUUAGAACAUUUCUUUUGCUAGCUCUCUUGACCCAGUAUUAUCUUUCAUACUGAUUAGCUUUAUGUUCAUUAACAAUGUCAUUUAUCCCCAACAAGAAUUUUAACUCCUUGAGAACAAGAACUGUUCAUUGUACUUCUAGAUGAUCCCACUGUCAGCUGCUUUCACUGAGGAGGCCCUCCAGAAAUGAGUGCUUGCAUUUUAUUUUUAAACAUAUGCUUCCUACAUUUUGCAAAGGAAAGGAAAUUGGGAUGGCAUUUCUUUAACUAUUUCCACAUCUUUUACUCUGAAUAUAUUUUAAAAUUUAAGAUAUAUUAUUUUUUUAAAUGAAAAGUUAACAGAGCAUAUUUGUUAUGGGGGUGGUGGUGAUAAUGGUGGUACAUGGCAAAUCUACAAGUUAGGAAUAAUUAUCAUCAAUGUUCAAUGAGCACUUCCUAUGUAUCGUGCUGUAGUAUACUACAAAGUAAUACAUUUGGUCUUUGUCCCCAGUUCCUGAUGCAGAGCUUCAAAACCCUUGUUUUGAAGGGUUUUCUCAGUGCAAAGAGUAUGUUUUGUUAUUAACAAUGAACUUCUUUUCACCAUAUCUGAAUUUAUGCUAAUGAAAUGAUUUAAGACAGAGCCCUUUGCUGAUGGCUGGAAAAAAAGUUGAAAAUUUCAGCCCCAUCCCUCAAACACUGAGGAGAGAAGAGAGUUCAAUCAUGUGGCUAAUUCUUUAAUCAAAAAAUACCUACACAACACAGUGGUCAGAGUGGGACCAUCUAGAUUACAACUCCUCAGAUCCAUAAGGGACACGCUC